rnacentral:lncRNA from 1 species
AGUUGCUUUAUGACGCCGGGCGCGUGCGCAUUUAAAACAAUUCUCGAAAGAAAUGUUCACAAAUUAGUUUAAAUUCGAAAACGUUUCGGUAUGGACGCAAGAAAAAGGAAUUCUAAGAAAUAGAAAUUCUAAGCGAAACAACAACGAAAAAGGAAAAUAAUUUAAAUAGGGAUAAUAAUAUACAAAAACAUAACAACAAAAACACAACGGUAUUAAGGAAUCUGUUUCAGAAUUUCAGUGAGUUAAAUCUGUUAAAAAGUUCUGCGGUUAAUUUGUUUGUUUCUUUAACAAAAAACGUAAUCUAAUAUUUUAAUUAUUAUCAUCAGCUCAGCAGCAGUGUAGAAUAUAUUGGCCUAAAAUACUAGAUAUUUUAUGUUAAUAUAUUAAAUUCGAGUGACUUACGUCACCCAAGAUUUUGUACAUUUUCAAGCGAUAUUAGCUUGUCAUCAAGCGAUUAUUUCUGGAUACAAUUGUGAGCAUUGGACUGGGUGUUAAUUAUUUCUAUGCCGGUUUGCUCUCCUUUUUUGUCAGCGGUUUUGCAAUCUUUGCAAAAUCUGGAAUGAACUUACGAUUUCAGAUUACCAUUUGGCUAUGAGGAUCAGACAGUUUUAGUUAACUACUCCUAAAAAAAUAUCAGAGGACAAUUAUCUGAGGAAUGAAUCGCUUUGAAGUAGUACACUUUGAAACUACAUUUAUUCAUUUUGUGUAGCUUGUCUGUGGGCUAAAAUAUAUUUCGGCUAAAAAGUAGGCAAUACUACUUUUAUCAGUUGACCCAAGACUUUGGUAUUUCACCAUUUGUUUUUUUUUCUUUUUUUAAAUAAUUUAUUAAACGAAAUUAUUUAACGGACUAGCGUACUAUUGCCCUUUUUAGACAACCUAAUCUAAUCGGUAUCAAUUUAAACGAUUCUUAAUAUCUAAGUUUUUUACAAAGAUUAUAUGAAUUUGAGUAUUAAAGAAAUUGAAUGUUUAGGCAAUAAUAUUUAGAAGAUUAUUAUUAAGUAGUAUUUAUGACAAGUCCCGGGGGGUAUUUAUAUGGUUUUUUAAUAGAUAGGGUCUUCGUAUUUUGUAUGAAUAGAAUAUUUAAUAGUACUUGUGGAAGUAAAAUUUUCACCAUCUUUGUACUGAAUAUCACUGUAUUCAAGGAAAACGUGGGAAAGUUGUUUCCCUUUUUGCUGUAUUUAGAAGUUCUAAUCUGAAUACGUUAAAUUCUCUGAACUCGCCGUCUAAGGCGUAGUUAGAGGAUGUUACUAGAAGGAUGUCUUUUAAGUAAGGGGUAAUAAGAGGGUUUUCCUCAGAUUUAGAAGUCUUGGGACACUCAUAGGUA